AGCAGUCGCCGCGGGAAUACGGAGGGUGCAAGCGUUAAUCGGAAUUACUGGGCGUAAAGCGCACGCAGGCGGUCUGACAAGUCAGAUGUGAAAUCCCCGGGCUUAACCUGGGAACUGCAUUUGAAACUGUCAGGCUGGAGUCUUGUAGAGGGGGGUGGAAUUCCAGGUGUAGCGGUGAAAUGCGUAGAGAUCUGGAGGAAUACCGGUGGCGAAGGCGGCCCCCUGGACAAAGACUGACGCUCAGGUGCGAAAGCGUGGGGAGCAAACAGGAUUAGAUACCCCGGUAGUCCCUGUCUCUUAUAC
rnacentral:rRNA from 1 species